GAUGAACGCUGGCGGCGUGCCUAAUACAAGCAAGUCGAGCGAACGGACGAGAAGCUUGCUUCUCUGAUGUUAGCGGCGGACGGGUGAGUAACACGUGGAUAACCUACCUAUAAGACUGGGAUAACUUCGGGAAACCGGAGCUAAUACCGGAUGAUAUUUUGAACCGCAUGGUUCAAAAGUGAAAGACGGUCUUGCUGUCACUUAUAGAUGGAUCCGCGCUGCAUUAGCUAGUUGGUAAGGUAACGGCUUACCAAGGCAACGAUGCAUAGCCGACCUGAGAGGGUGAUCGGCCACACUGGAACUGAGACACGGUCCAGACUCCUACGGGAGGCAGCAGUAGGGAAUCUUCCGCAAAGGGCGAAAGCCUGACGGAGCAACGCCGCGUGAGUGAUGAAGGUCUUCGGAUCGUAAAACUCUGUUAUUAGGGAAGAACAUAUGUGUAAGUAACUGUGCACAUCUUGACGGUACCUAAUCAGAAAGCCACGGCUAACUACGUG
rnacentral:rRNA from 1 species